rnacentral:lncRNA from 1 species
GUUGGACAGUGUUAUUCAGGAUGGUGGAAUGGUACAGAACGUGCACAUAGAAGUAUGUUGUGUAGAAGAGACGUGAUGAGGAGCGUUGGUAAUCGUGUCAGCUCCAUAUGCUACGUUUCUAUCUGCAAGGUUUCCAGUCUUGCCCUUCUAACCACACCCCCUGGACAACGCAUCACUCUGGGUGGAACUUCAUCUUAACCAAUCACAUGCCACCUCUGUGUCACCAUGCUGCGAGUCAACCUGCUGCAACCAAUCGACACGCACAGCUCUGUGGAUCUGAAAAGGGGAUUCUGGGAAGUGUAGUGAUUCUGGGUGCGAGCAGAGAGGAUGCUGGGAUAGCCCUGACUCACGGCGAUGUAGGGGACACCACUAAACCCCGCCCAUCCAGAGGCAAACAGAAAACCAGAACAAAUGCUUAUUGUUAUUGUCCAUGCUUAUCUAUCCAGAGGGAGAGCAGAUCUGUGUGCAUCUCUCCUUUUGAAAAUAAUGAAAACAAACUGUUACUGUUGGACAGAAAUGGACCGUCUCUGUCAGAAAAUAGCAUCCAAUGACAUCACUGGAACGUGUACUCUGGGCCUUCUGUGUGGCUGUGGAACACACAGGCCUGGUUCCAAACUGACCACUAGCCCCUUGACCACUAAGCAUCUCCUGACUCACCCUCAAUCAAAUGAAACGGAGAGGUUUGAGCCUAAGCGAUGAUCAUGUGUCUUUAGAUUUUAAAAAAUAAAAUAAAAUCUGGAGCAGUGGAUUCAAGCAACAUGGCAGAUACUUCACACAGUCUACCAGAUAACUUCACACAGUCUACCAGAUAACUUCACACAGUCUACCAGAUAACUUCACACAGUCUACCAGAUGGAGAUUGAGGUCAAGCUAUAGACCCGCUAUGUUACUGUUACCUACCAUGUAAUCUCUUGUGGACAGAUGUGCAUAACAGAACUGGUAUUGUAGCAUCUGUCAGCAG